AAGAGACAGCAGUAGCCGCGGGAAAACAGAGGGUGCGAGCGUUAAUCGGAUUUACUGGGCGUAAAGCGUGCGUAGGCGGCUUCUUAAGUCGGAUGUGAAAUCCCUGAGCUUAACUUAGGAAUUGCAUUCGAUACUGGGAAGCUAGAGUAUGGGAGAGGAUGGUAGAAUUCCAGGUGUAGCGGUGAAAUGCGUAGAGAUCUGGAGGAAUACCGAUGGCGAAGGCAGCCAUCUGGCCUAAUACUGACGCUGAGGUACGAAAGCAUGGGGAGCAAACAGGAUUAGAUACCCCUGUAGUCCCUGUCUCUUAUAC
rnacentral:rRNA from 1 species